UACGUAGGGUGCGAGCGUUGUCCGGAAUUAUUGGGCGUAAAGGGCUCGUAGGCGGUUUGUCGCGUCGGGAGUGAAAACCUUGGGCUUAACUCAGGGCUUGCUUUCGAUACGGGCAGACUAGAGGUAUGCAGGGGAGACUGGAAUUCCUGGUGUAGCGGUGGAAUGCGCAGAUAUCAGGAGGAACACCGGUGGCGAAGGCGGGUCUCUGGGCAGUAACUGACGCUGAGGAGCGAAAGCGUGGGGAGCGAACAGG
rnacentral:rRNA from 1 species